UUUAAGCAUAUCACUCAGUGGAGGAACAGCAAGCAACCGCGGUUGCCGCAGUAAUGGCGAAUGAACUGGCAAGACCUGGCUCAUCCCGAAGGGAAUCCCAGUGCGAACCAGGGGCACCACACAGAGAGGCCCAGAAGGGCUCUGUGGCCCGUGUUUGCGAACGGCUUUCGUGGAUCUCAACUGAUGCUGUGGGCUGUGGAGCAGGCAGCAGUGCCAUUGGUCAACCGUUGCACCAGGGAAGGCCCUGGAAUGGCCUACCACAGAGGGAUACUGUCCUGUACGCCCAACGUUGUGCAGUGGUUGCCAGGGCGCUUGCCGUCGGCAUCCAGGAGUAGAGUGGCUUGGGACUGCAGUUUGAAGUGCAAUGUGUAUCCGUUGCAAGGCAGCAUACCGACAUGGGACCGAUAGAGCACAAGUAGAGUGAUUGAAGGAUGCAAAGGACUUUGCAAAGAGGGUUAAAAGUCCCUGAAGCCGUGGCAGGGCCGGCGGAGAGUGGUGCUGUGGCUUGUCUGCGUGACCGUUGUGAUUGAGCACCCCCACAGGAGACCGGGGUGGAAGGCAAAAGGGAGAGGGCACCCCCUGCACACAGCAGCAGCAGAGAGCAGGGGUGUGUCUGGUGUGAGUAUUGCCUCCAGCCCCAACAACCAAACGGGGGCUCUUCCAAUGGUGGGACGCUGUGAUAUGAUUCCUCCUCCAAGCAACCUUGGGCCGGCCCAGAGCCGGUCACCGAGCCCCUCCCUCCAGGGGGGGAAGACACAUCGUGGCGGCAACCUGGUGGCACCCUGCCUGGCAGGGCCUGAGGCUGAAGUACCCCAGAGAGCUAUUGAGAUGCGAUGCGAUUUGCGAAGGCAUGAGAGACAUCCUCGAUCUGUGUGUGAUUGGGAGCCGCUCCACUCCCGUGCUGGUGGUGGUGUGUCAAAGUGCGACACACCCUCUCCUCUCCCACGAAAGACACACAUUCUGUGUGUGUCUGUGUGCUGGCUCAGAGAGGGGGCGCAAACCCCCGAUUGUCUCCCGUGUGUCCUGCCAUCAUCCCGAGUGCGAAAGCUCUUCCUGUUGUGCUGUGGCCACAGCCACGCAUCCACGCGAGAGAGAACGAGAAAGGGGCGCUCCUCCCCCUGGUGCUGUGCACAAGUUGUCGCCCUCCUUUGGGGCGUGUGUGUGUGGUGGUGCCGUGGUGAGUGCGGAGAGAGGCACCCAACACACAGCAGAGAGAGAGAUGAUCGAGAGAGAGAGACACGUGUGUGCUGGAAACCUGGUGUGUCACCUGUGGCAUGCCAGUCAACGUUGCUCAGUGUUGGAAUCGAACCCGAGGCCAGUGGCCCCGCGGUGGCUGCACCGGCCUGCCGGUGGCUCCUGCGGUGGUCCUGCUGGUCUCCCAGAUGGUGCAAUGUUCAGAGGUUUGGCAGCAAAAGAGAGCUUGGUCCCCAGCAGGGCCACUCUCUGCCCGUCUUGAAACACGGACCAAGGAGUCUAUGGAGCUUGCAUGUCGGCUGGUCUUGCAAAAGGGAGAGUCUCUCGAAGCCAAGGCAGAGGCGUGGUGAAGGCAACAUUCGCUCAAAACGAAGCCCAGAUGGUGCUCCCCCUGGCGGGGAGGGAUAUGCUGCAUGGGCUCCAGGCCCGUAGUCCAGUGGACAGGGUUCUGAGUGCUUGCAAGUUCCAUGGGACCCGAAAGGUGGCGAACUACACCGUUCUACGACGAAGCCGUGGGAAACUGCGGUGGAGGUCGGCAGCUGUUCUGACGUGCAAAUUGUGUAGCCUGAGUGCGGCAUAGGGGUGAAAGGCCAAUCGAGCCACCUAGUAGCUGGUUCCCUUUGAAGUUUCCCUCAGGAUAGCUGGGCCCCAGUGAGUUUGUAGCUGAUUACGUCCGGUAAAGCAACGCAUGAGAGGCAAUCGUGGGGAGGUUAUCCUCCUCAACCUAUCCUCGAACUGUGAAUGGGCGUGUCCUUGAUCCAGCACACUUCUUCAAAUCCCAGGAGGCCGUCUGACCAACGGUGCUGUCUGUUCUGAGUGUGUUCCAACACGGAAGGGCGUCUGCAGCUCAGCCCAUGGAUGCUUGGUGUGGCAGGGAUCGUGGCUGAUGGGAGGUCUGUGAGACAACCCCAUGGGUCCAGCAGGGCCAGGGGUCACGGACUCUCUCCCCUCUCGGCCCGUCCCAUUCCAAAUGCCCACCACCCACCCUGGGCCAGAGGGCCGUCCGAUCAGUGAAGCGCGAAACAGAGGGGCCUGUGUGGGCCAUCAUUGGUAAGCAGUGCUGGCGAUGCGGGGUGCUCCGAGAGUGGACUUAAUGAUCCGGAGUGCUGGCUCAUACCCAGAUCCCACAAAGGAUGUUGCUUGCUAGGGAUAGCAGGACGGUGGCCAUGAAGGUUGGAACCCGCUAAGGAAUGUGUAACAACUCACCUGCCGAAGCGAGCUGCUUCGAAAAUGGAUGGUGCCUAAGUCAGUGAAGCUGAGAUUGUCUCAUAGUCCACCGCCACUGUGGGUGGUUUGGCAAGAGAGAGCGCAGCAGAGCAAUGGCGUGUAAAGGGGCAUGGAGGCUGCAGUACCACUCUGGGGCUGUCCCCGUGUGGAGUGCCCUCCGGAGCAGAUCUUGGUUGCAGUAGCGGGUACUCCAUUGAGUGAAGAGCAGUACAUACCCUGCUGUGUGCGGUUGAGGACUGGAGUGGAGCAGGUUUCCAGACCAAACAGCCGUUGAAUCUGGGUCAACCGACCGUGAGCCAAGUGGUAAAUGCACAGAACAACCAAAGCUGCCUCGAUUGGGGGAAGAGGACGGACCGAAGCCAAUCCAAACACACGCCCAGGGGAGAGUGUGGUGCGCCCGUGGGGACAGCAGUCCCGAGGGUCUCCCCUCCUCCCUGGGGUCGUUGUGGGCUGGUGUUCCCCUCGGAACCUACGGCGGAAAUGGCAAACAGGCAAGCAUGUGCAACAUUCUGCUGUGAUGGGCUUGGGGUACUCUGAGGUUGCGAAGCCUCUGUCCCCAGUGAGACCAAGCAGGCUGCGGGGCAGUGCACCCCUCGAGGAGUUGUCGUUUCCUCCUGAUGCCAAGGCACACGUGGGCUAUGGAUUUGCAUGACAGAUGGCGGCAUAUGCCCUCCGCCCAGCAAGGCAGUGUAGCCUCCACACUGGCAGUGUCUCGUCGCUUCAAGCAUGGUCUCCGGACCGUUGCGUGUAUCCUCCGACCCAUCGGUGGUCACUGGCUCCAAGGAAUCGCCUGCAGGCCUUGUACCUCCGGACCCUAGUCUCCGUACUGAAUCACCGCAGCCGGUCUCCUCGACUAGACGUCGCUUGUCCACGGACGAAAUGCAGCUAAGGGAAGUCGGCAAACUAGCUGUGUACCUUCGGAAGAUACAGUGGCUCCAGAGGCCAAGGCACUGGGCCCUGUCAUUGGCUUGGGAUCUGUGCGAAGGCAUACCCACCGACGAGGUGGUUCGCCAUCGAGUCGGACUGUGGCAGCCAUUGCCUGCCCUGGCAUCUGUGGCGGGGGGCCAUCGCGGCCAGUGGUGCUUCGGCGCUGCUGGUCGUGGCCCAUCCCGGUGUCUAACGGAGUGGCCCACGUGGAACUGUUGCUGUGCAAGGGAAUCUGACUGUUUAAUUGAAACCCAGCUUUGUGAAGGGACCAGCUGGCUGGUUCCAUGAGGUGACUUCUGCCCAGUGCUCUGAUUGUCAAAGCGGAGAGAUUCAGCCAAGCGCGGGUAAACGGCGGGAGUAACUAUGACUCUCUUAAGGUAGCCAAAUGCCUCGUCAACCAAUUAUUGACGCGCAUGAAUGGAUCAACGAGAUUCCUGCUGUCCCUAGCUGCUGUCUGGUGAACCAACAGCCAAGGGAACGGGCUUGGAUGCGUCAGCGGGGAAAGAAGAGCCUGUUGAGA
rnacentral:rRNA from 1 species